GAAAUCUAUGAAAUUUUGACACAAGGUUUAUGACCACAAAAGAACGGUUGGGAUUGAUUUUGGGAGUUUUGGUUUCAACAGUUUAGGAAUUAGGGGCCAAAAAAGGGCCCAAAUAAGCAUUAUUCUUGGUUUUCGCACAAUAACUUUAGUUUAAGUAAAUAGAAAUCAAUGAAAUUUUAACACAAUGUUAAUGACUACAAAAGGAAGGUUGGUAUUGAUUUUGGGAGUUUAGGUCCCAACAGUUUAGGAAUUAGGGGCCAAAAAGGGACCCAAUUAAGCAUUUUCUUGGUUUUCGCACUAUAACUUUAGUUUAAGUUAAUAGAAAUCUAUGAAAUUUUGACACAAGGUUUAUGACCACAAAAGAACUGUUGGGAUUGAUUUUGGGAGUUUUGGUUUCAACAGUUUAGGAAUUAGGGGCCAAAAAAGGGCCCAAAUAAGCAUUAUUCUUGGUUUUCGCACCAUAACGUUAGUAUAAGUAAAUAGAAAUCUAUGAUAUUUAAACACAAG
rnacentral:lncRNA from 1 species